rnacentral:rRNA from 1 species
UACAGAGGGUGCGAGCGUUGUCCGGAAUCACUGGGCGUAAAGGGCGCGUAGGCGGCCUGGCAAGUCUGUGGUGAAAGCUCAGGGCUUAACUCUGAGUCGGCCAUCGAUACUGCGAGGCUCGAGUCUGGUAGAGGCAGAUGGAAUUCCGGGUGUAGCGGUGGAAUGCGUAGAGAUCCGGAAGAACACCGGUGGCGAAGGCGGUCUGCUGGGCCAGUACUGACGCUGAGGCGCGACAGCGUGGGGGAGCAAACAGG